AGCACAAAAAAGCAUGUGCAUCAAUGAAAUAUGUAGCUCUGCCAAGAGAGAAGAUAAAUAAUCACUGCCUCUGUAGGUGUAUUUUCUGGUUCUGGUGGAUGAAUAGGUAAUCUCUCUACCUCUUGCUAAAUAUGCCUAAGAGUGAAAUGCAUCCUCCAGAGGCACUAAGAGCCAGAGCAUAUCAAUUCUGAAUGUAGACAUCUUGUAAAUUCUUUUGGUGCCUCAGACCCACACAAUCACUAAUGAUGGUUUCUGUCAUUCAAACCUAUUUUUUAAAUUUCUGGUUUUAUUUCUCCAGGAAACUUCAGCCUGGGAUAGGAGAAAUUACUUCACUGUGCAUUUGAUGGAAAGGCACACACAAAGCCUGUGAAACAUCAAACAAGGUUUCCAGUUCUUCAAUUUGAGAGUAUGUUGUGUUCCAUAAUAGGUCCUAAGUGUACAGAUCAAGUUGAAGUCUAGAAUUCUGCCAGCACUGAUGUGAGAUUUUUGAUAUUUGAACCUCACUGUCCAAGUUACUGCAGAGUUUACCAAUUUUUGUGGGUUUACAAUACAGAAUACCAGAUUUCUCAAUGCAAGGGUUAGCAUUGUCUGAUACAUGAAGCUUCCUAUCUUUUCAGAUGUUGUCAGGAUUAUAUGUUGUCUCCAGUUAUAUGUCAGCAUUCUUCCAUCAUCAGAGCAGUAAUAAAGUUUCAGGGAAUACUUAGUAUAUGCUCUAGAUAGUUAACUUCUGUAGUAUGCAGGUUGAAUGACAGCUUUCACUUACUCAUUUAUCAAUUCCUAGUGGAGGAGAAAGAAAACUUAAGUCUUGGAUUGUAUCCAAGCCUCAGUAAUGACUAGUUUCAUUAUCACAGUUUCCCUUAUUCCUCUCCCUUGAAAGUCCAGCAAAGCAACUCUGUGUUUUUUGAGUAAGAGGUAUUGAAUCCUCUCCUGAUUUCCAAAUACCACACCAAGAUAUUUAAAGUAUACUGCUGGUGUUCAGUACAUGCAUUUUAUUCAUUAAGAGUAUUAACUAUAUCACUUUUCCUGGGAACAGCUGCAGUGAGUGGUUCAGGGACACUGUUCAAAGCUCUGUAAACAGAGUUGCCAUGUGCCAUGAGACUUUUUUACUGGCAGCUGCACAGGGAGAAUGAGACUUAAUAACAGUUCCUCACUCCUCUAGUUCUUUUAACAGUUAUGACAUUAGUAUAUCAGUUCUUCUAUCAAUAUCAAUUAAAAAUCAUCUCAAUUCAAUUAUCCAAUUCUUUCCUCAAUCCACAGGAUGGAUAACAUUAGAAGGUAGCUUGUAAUGCAAAAUGUCAACAAGAGCUUGCUAAAAUCUGAGCAGGAGAUGAGUGAACAUAGUCCAGGAGUCUAACUGCCUAAAUUAUAGCUUUUAAAUCUGCAGUAGCAGGUCUAAUUUUCUUCAGUCUGACAUUCCAUUCAGUCUGGCUACAGUCUUCUACCAUUACUUGGUAGCUAUGACAAUCAUGCAAUUUCACAUUGGGUUUAAAUAUUAGCCACCGUGUCUAAUAGUCAUUUGAAAAAGCUGGUCCAUAUUUCUGCUACUGCUUGUUCAGAAACAGAGGCAGGUAUGGAUGCAUGCAUGGCGUUUUUCAGUGUGGGAUAAAGACGCAUUAUCUAUUACAAAAAAUGUCACAUUCUCCACUGCAACAUGAAGAGCUUCACAACAUACCCCUUUGAUGGGCAUUUUAAUAUAUCUGAAGACUAGAGUAAAAGAAAUUUAAAAUGACUGAAACUGUUUUACCUGGGUUUCUUGUGGAAAACCUGCCACCAUAGGGCAAAAAUUUUGAAAUCUACAUAGAGCCUGACUCUCCAGUUUAAUCCAGAGCAGCCACUGAAAGGAUGAGAAACAUCCUACCACUGAUAAAGUAAAAUGCAUGAUGAAACCAUCUAUCUAGUCUGCACUGUCCCUUCCACAUUGUAUUUCUCAUACACAUUUGAACUGCCUAUUUCUUCUGUACAAAUCAAAACUUAAUGGAGAAGAAUUAGUCUAAACCAAAGAGGGGUUAAUUUAGAUUAGGCACAAGGGACAUGAGAAAUGUGGGAAGAGAGUUUACCACUGAAAAGUGAGGCAAAAAAACCGCUGAGUGCCUCAGCCUUUUCUAUAUGAGGCCAGUUAUCCUGUCUAAUUUGUUGGGAGCUUACAUUUUCUUUGGUCUCCUUUUCUGACCGCAUACCUGCACAAGUCUUUCUUCUUAUUAUUGUGGUAAAGUUUCUCCUUUGGUUGUGCUAUCACCUGGAUUAAGAACUCUGGAGCACUCCUGGCCUCCUUAAAGCAGAUGGCAGAGUGGCUGAAACCCCACAUCAGGAUCAGAGCCUGGAGUGUGAAUCUUCCUGUAGCUGAAGGAAAAACUUCAUUAACAUCCUCCCCUAGAUCUGGUGGCCUGUAGCAAACAUCAGCCAUGAAGUUCCCCUUGUUGGUUUGACCCCAGUUUUCACCUAUAUAUUUUUACCCAUUUUACCUGUUCAUUGCUGGUUUUCCAUGGCAGCUCCCUGUAGUUCAUCCAUUUUUCACACUGAGGGUAACAUCAUCCUGACUCCUCCCUACUUGCCUGUCCCUUCUGAACAUUUCCUAGCCACUGGUGCAGUGCUCCAGCACGCAGCUUGUCCCUCCACAUCUCAGUUACCGUGGUUAGACCACAGUGUUCCAGCAGCACCGUGGUUUCCAGCUGUUGUGUUACCCAUGCCAUGAGCAUAGCUGCAUGGACACUUCAACCGGGUUACAGGUUGUCUCACCUCUUCAGAUGAAUACCCCAAAUGUCUUUUGAGGCAUUCCACAGGUCAGUUAUCAUAUCAAUUUCAAGGUCCAUAAUCAGCUUUUUCAAUCUUGCCAGCCUUACUUGCAGUAAUUUUCUUUCCCUAAUCAUCAGGGACUUUAGCAGCACUAACCGAAGCAAAACAGAUAAAAAAGAAUUCAUGGUGGAAAUCACCCCAUUGCAAAGUCUGGCUUAUGGAGACCACUUCAGAGGCUAUCAACUUUUAAGAGAUGCUCUGGUACAGUGGAUGUCUAACUUUUUCAAUUUUUAGUGAAAGAAAUAUCUAAUCCCACAGUUUUCAACAUUGUAUCACAGUAAGAACCCUGAAAAUCAUACAUGUAACUGAUUCUUCCAGAUCAUAGGGAGAGGUAUGGAAACCUAGACUCCAAAUUUUGUACUGUUUUUAGGCAGCAUUGCAAGUUUGUACACUUUAAAACAAAAAAUCACAACAAAGGAAGGAAAAAAGGUAUUUUAUAACUAUUCCCUCGAUCUGCUUGAUAUAAACUACCUAGGAGUGUAAUUCUGGAUAGCCAUGAGUAUGUUUAUAUUCAGAAAAACACUUUGUUUUAAACCUUUGACAAAACCUUGUCUCUAAGUACUUGAAGACCUUAAGCAGGUCUGAAGGCUUUUUGUCCACUGUUAAAAGCUUGCCUCUUUUCCAAAUGUGGCGCUUACCCUAAGAGGGUAUUAAACUAAAGGUAGUAUCUGUUAUCAUACUUGAGUAAAAUGAAUCCAGGAAAAAAAAAAA